rnacentral:rRNA from 1 species
UACGGAGGAUCCGAGCGUUAUCCGGAUUUAUUGGGUUUAAAGGGUGCGUAGGCGGCCUUGUAUGUCAGGGGUGAAAGACGGUAGCUCAACUAUCGCAGUGCCUUUGAUACUGCAGGGCUUGAAUGUACUUGAGGUAGGCGGAAUGUGACAAGUAGCGGUGAAAUGCAUAGAUAUGUCACAGAACACCAAUUGCGAAGGCAGCUUACUAUGGUUUAAUUGACGCUGAGGCACGAAAGCGUGGGGAUCAAACAGG